rnacentral:rRNA from 1 species
GACGAACGCUGGCGGCGUGCUUAACACAUGCAAGUCGAACGGAAAGGCCCUGCUUUUGUGGGGUGCUCGAGUGGCGAACGGGUGAGUAACACGUGAGUAACCUGCCCUUGACUUUGGUAUAACUUCAGGAAACUGGGGCUAAUACCGGAUAGGAGCUCCUGCUGCAUGGUGGGGGUUGGAAAGUUUCGGCGGUUGGGGAUGGACUCGCGGCUUAUCAGCUUGUUGGUGGGGUAGUGGCUUACCAAGGCUUUGACGGGUAGCCGGCCUGAGAGGGUGACCGGCCACAUUGAGACUGAGAUAAGGCCCAGAGUCCUACGGGGGGCAGCAGUGGGGAAUAUUGCAAAAAGGGCGGAAGCCUGAUGCAGCAACGAAGCGUGCGGGAUGACGGCCUUCGGGUUGUAAACCGCUUUCGCCUGUGACGAAGCGUGAGUGACGGUAAUGGGUAAAGAAGCACCGGCUAACUACGUG